AGUCACAUGCCUUCCCAGCUAACAGAGGUUUUCCAGAAGCCAUUGGCCAUCCUCCACUGAAGGCUUGUAUGACCAAACCUCCCUCUCAGCUGACCAGAACCUUGUUGUGAUGCUGGUAAAGAAUGUUUCCCUCCAUUGUGAUUCAGCACAUAUCCCAUUUGUCAAGUUUUCACUGGCCAAGAAGGGAGGAGCUGACAUGCCACAGCACCAAAAUUGGGGCACCAGGCCACCUUCACCCUGGGCCCUGUGAUCUCCAGCUUUACAGGGAGCUACAGGUGUUAUGGCUGGCACAGUGGCAGCCCCUAUCUACAGUCAGCACCAAGUGAUGCCUCUGGAAGUUGUUGCAGGUCAUACAGCCCAGCCCAGCCCUUUCUCCUUCCUGGGGCUCCAUACUGGUGGCUAAGGUCCUUGUCACCAGGCAGGAAUAGGAAGACAUGAGAAAUAAUACCAGGGUAAUACUCUUCUACUCAGAGUACUGGGAAGAGAGAAGAGUUUCCCACCCACAGCAUGAAUUUCCCACCCUUUGAAUGCUUGUGGUCUAUUGAGAAAGAAGAGGUCAAUAUCAAAAAUCACAUGUUAUCAGGCCACGUUGAGAUGGUAGAUCAUCAGACACAACCUAGGCUCUCCUGUUUCUUUUUUCCACAUGUUUACUUGCAUCUGAGUGUCCUUAAACUAACCUGUAGUUCUAAAAUUUACUGAGAAUGGUUGACUUGGGUUUUUGGCUCAUAGGAAGGAAUCUCAAAAACUCUAUAAUGAGACCAUUUUGUCUGUUGGUUACAUACAUCACUCAGCCCAAAGAGAGAAGACAAGAGUCAUAACAGAAGAAAGCAGUUGGCAAUUUCUAAGCAGGGCAACCACAUUCAUGUCUCACAUCUGCCUUGCCAAAAAACAUCACAUCAGUCAUUUGACAAGCUAAGAACCCAAGGUUCAGAAAGUAGAAAGAGAUGUGGGAAACAGCAAUUUGGAGAAAGAGAAGGUGGGUUUCUCUGCAGAAGGAAUGUAGUCUCUGCCCUGCUACAUUCUUAUUCCCUGUUUUCUUAAAAUGUCUGUGUUUCCAUCACACUUUCACUUGACCUGACAUACUUACUUGCAUAGACAACUCAAGUCAGGCAGUGAUCAUCCAAGGGGGUCCCCAAUUGGACUUCUGGAGCCUCUGUUCUCUGUUGCUAGCUAGGACAGAAGAGAUCUGCUUUUGACUUGUAUUGCUUAUUUUUUUUCUUUUUCACUAAAACAUUUAGAAAAAUGAACUUCAACAAAAGUGCUGAAAUUUAAAGAUGGAAACAGGUGAAGAAGGAGGGUCUGAUUACAUAGUUGAUAAAUAUAGGGAUUGAACUAACUCUGGGAUUGUCUUUGAUUUCAUUAUUUAAUAAUUGUAAAUAUUUAUGCAUACAGCAGAGUUAUAAAUGCAUAAGUGUAGUUAAAGAUUAAUAGUAUUCAAGUAACCAUCACCCAAAGUAAAGAAAUAUGGUUUGCAAAUGCCUUAUGUCUUAAGCAUGCUAUACCCCCAUGUGAUCAUCCUCCAACCUCCCUGUUGGGGGGUCAAAAACAAAAUAAAACAGGGUAAUGAUUUGGGGAUUGAUCAUUCCAUGGUUUUUUUGCUCAUUUUAGCAUCUGCAUAUCCCUAAACAAUGAAUUGUUUACUUUUGGUGCUUUCAGAAUUUAUCUAAAUGGACCAUAGUGUUUACGUUCUUUUGUGACUUGCUCUUUUUGCUUAUUAUGUUUAAAAAAUAAAUUAAUUUUGAUUAUUGCA